rnacentral:rRNA from 1 species
UGCCAGCCGCCGCGGUAAUACGGAGGGCGCAAGCGUUAUUCGGAAUCAUUGGGCGUAAAGCGGGUGCAGGCGGUGGAGUGAGUCGGAUGUGAAAUCCCAGGGCCCAACCCUGGAACUGCAUUCGAUACUGCUUCACUAGAGUCCCGGAGAGGGUGGCGGAAUUCCCGGUGUAGAGGUGAAAUUCGUAGAUAUCGGGAGGAACACCAGUGGCGAAGGCGGCCACCUGGACGGUGACUGACGCUCAGACCCGAAAGCGUGGGGAGCAAACAGGAUUAGAUA